AUUGAACGCUGGCGGCAUGCUUUACACAUGCAAGUCGAACGGUAACAGGCCGCAAGGUGCUGACGAGUGGCGCACGGGUGAGUAAUGCAUCGGAACGUGCCCAGUCGUGGGGGAUAACUACUCGAAAGAGUAGCUAAUACCCCAUACGAUCUAUGGAUGAAAGCGGGGGACCGUAAGGCCUCGCGCGAUUGGAGCGGCCGAUGUCAGAUUAGGUAGUUGGUGGGGUAAAGGCUCACCAAGCCAACGAUCUGUAGCUGGUCUGAGAGGACAACCAGCCACACUGGGACUGAGACACGGCCCAGACUCCUACGGGAGGCAGCAGUGGGGAAUUUUGGACAAUGGGCGAAAGCCUGAUCCAGCAAUGCCGCGUGCAGGAAGAAGGCCUUCGGGUUGUAAACUGCUUUUGUACGGAACGAAACGGCUCUGGUUAAUACCCGGGGCUAAUGACGGUACCGUAAGAAUAAGCACCGGCUAACUACGUG
rnacentral:rRNA from 1 species